AACGAACGCUGGCGGCAGGCCUAACACAUGCAAGUCGAACGCCCUAGCAAUAGGGAGUGGCAGACGGGUGAGUAACGCGUGGGAACCUUCCCUGUGGUGCGGAAUAACUCGCCGAAAGGCGUGCUAAUACCGCAUAAGCCCGAAAGGGGAAAGAUUUAUCGCCAUAGGAUGGGCCCGCGUAGGAUUAGCUAGUUGGUGAGGUAAUGGCUCACCAAGGCGACGAUCCUUAGCUGGUUUGAGAGAAUGACCAGCCACACUGGGACUGAGACACGGCCCAGACUCCUACGGGAGGCAGCAGUCCGGGGAAUCUUGGACAAUGGGCGCAAGCCUGAUCCAGCCAUGCCGCGUGAGUGACGAAGGCC
rnacentral:rRNA from 1 species